ACGGAGGGGACUAGCGUUGUUCGGAAUUACUGGGCGUAAAGCGCACGUAGGCGGUUUGUCGCGUCGUCUGUGAAAUUCUGCAACUCAAUUGUAGGCGUGCAGGCGAUACGGGCAGACUUGAGUACUACAGGGGAGACUGGAAUUCCUGGUGUAGCGGUGAAAUGCGCAGAUAUCAGGAGGAACACCGGUGGCGAAGGCGGGUCCCUGGACAACACCUGACACUGAGGCACGAAAGCCGGGGGAGCAAACAGGA
rnacentral:rRNA from 1 species